UACGGGGGGGGCAAGCGUUGUUUGGAAUUACUGGGCGUAAAGGGCUCGUAGGCGGCCAACUAAGUCAGACGUGAAAUCCCUCGGCUUAACCGGGGAACUGCGUCUGAUACUGGAUGGCUUGAGAUUGGGAGAGGGAUGCGGAAUUCCAGGUGUAGCGGUGAAAUGCGUAGAUAUCUGGAGGAACACCGGUGGCGAAGGCGGCAUCCUGGACCAACACUGACGCUGAGGAGCGAAAGCCAGGGGAGCAAACGGG
rnacentral:rRNA from 1 species